AGACAGAAGGUAUUAUCCAUGACAGACAGAAGGUAUUAUCCAUGACAGACAGAAGGUAGUAUCCAUGCCAGACAGAAGGUAUUAUCCAUGCCAGACAGAAGGUAUUAUCCAUGACAGAUAGAAGGUAUUAUCCAUGACAGACAGAAGGUAUUAUCCAUGACAGACAGAAGGUAUUAUCCAUGACAGACAGAAGGUAUUAUCCAUGACAGACAGAAGGUAUUAUCCAUGACAGACAGAAGGUAUUAUCCAUGACAGACAGAAGGUAUUAUCCAUGACAGACAGAAGGUAUUAUCCAUGACAGACAGAAGGUAUUAUCCAUGACAGACAGAAGGUAUUAUCCAUGACAGACAGAAGGUAUUAUCCAUGACAGACAGA